AAACAAUUCGGGUCAGUUUGUAGGUGAGGGGUAUGUAGAAAUCGUGCGAAAAUGGGUGAAACUCGUGGGGGGGCAAUCUCGCUCGGGCGAACUAGCUGUUUUGCUCGUUGCAGCGCAUGCGCUGUGCUGUCUUUGAAUGUGUGCGUGCGUCAAAAGCGAGCAAAACGCCGCUGUGUCAAAAAAUGUGUAAACAAACUCAGUUGGAGUUCAGAAAAGUAAACAUGCGCAAUCCGCUUGGUUAUGUGCAAAAAUUCGUGAAAUAAUCUAAAUAUUCUUUAUUUUGAUGAAUCGAAGCUAUUACCGAUAUGUGCAGUGCCGUGGAAUUACAAAAAUUGCUUCAAAAAAGCUGUGUGUGUGGCUGAUACUCCAGCAUCUUCCCAAUAUGUGUGUAAACAACGCCAAGAGUAUUACUGUUUUGUGAUCAUCAUAUUUCAUUCGAAUUGCACAUUACCGGGCAGAAAAAGCUUCAAGCAACCAAUUUUGUUUCGGCUGUCUUCUUUCUUGCACGGCUAGGUCAACAUAUAUUAUACAUAUCGAAGAGGUAAGAUUAUACAACUCAUAUCUAUGUAUAUACGCGUUACUAGCUGUUGCUAACAUUUGUUGUUGUAGAACUUUCCUUCUACCUACCAUAAUGUCAAUUGGUAAGGAGGGAAACAUGUACCUAAAUCAUGUACCUAAAUUACACAACAAAUAAAUGUAAACAAUUCUUCAUCCGAUACCUACGAUAGCAUAUACCAAAUUCUACUAUUCUAUUCGUUGGUCGUUGGUUAUAUACAUAUGCAAAUGUCGUUUUCGUGUUCAUUCGGUUCGAGUUAUCGCUACAAUCGGUGUCUUUAUCUGCGCGCGUGACAGUGUUACAAACUUCCUGAGUGAAAAACAUAGUGAACAAGUGUGUAGAGAAUUUGUUCUAGCUUUGCGUUAACUAUCAAGCAACUUACAUACGUUUGCGAUUAAGUGACGCAAAUUGCUUACAUUUCUCAAGUGCAUUCCUUGUAGUAGUGUUUGAAGUGUAACAAUGUCGGUCAAAAGAAUGCGUCGAAUCGGCCAAACCAGCAAGAUUAUCAAAGCUAAUAACGCUAAACUAGAGGCAGAAUUAUUUGGCGAGAGCAGUUCAUUCGGUGCUAACAUCAUUCCUGCAGCAACCACGUAUGAAGAUCCGGAACCAAUUAGCCAUCAUUCGUCAUAGCCGAUAAGCUCAUCCAAAUACGCGUUAGAGCUAUCAUCGCAGAUUCACCAGCGCGUGCGUUCAUAAAAGGUGUUGCAUACUUCAAUCAUAAACAUGGGUGCCAAAAAUGUACAGUAGAAGGAAAACAUCACAGUGCGGCACGUCUUUCCUAUUUUCUGGAUAUCGACGUCGUGGAGUAACGUAAUUGUUUUCGAAAAAAUAAAUAAUAAUCACAUAUAAUCUGGUGUAUAUUACAUUGUAUUUGCGGCAAUCAGUAUACUGAUGAACCUUUCAAUAUUAAAUAUUUACUUUUAUCACAUACAUAAUUGACUUAGUUGUUUACGUGAUUGUUUCAGGUUUUAGUCAGUUUUUAAUUUAUCACAGCUUGUGUUACUUUCGUAUCACAUUUUUUGUCAUAAUUUUAUAUGACAGCAGUCUUUCACGUGGCCGGAUCGAACAACGUAUCCCAUUUGGAUCGUUUUGCUAUACGCAGGACGCAGCUACGAAUAAAGUUAAGAUAGUCAGAAUUAAAUAUAUACACUACUUAAACCUAUGUUUGGUAAAUAUGAAAAAGGCCGUUCUAAUUUAAAAAAAAACAAAAAUUAAAACGUUAAGAGACUACAAAAAGAAAUAUAAAAACUAAAUAAAACUUAAACUAAAUAAUAACUUAAAUAUAAAUUUACAUAGUGCGUCUUGUGCGACUGAAAGUUUUUCUAAUGCCUUGCAGUGCUACUCUUUUAGGAGCAUAUGCAAGUUUUUUUUUUAUGUACAUUUCUACGAAGUUUAUAUCUACUUCUACGCCCAUGUGGUUUGUGGCUACAUUUUUUAAAAAUUGCAUAGUAUGUACAUAGUUUUUGAACGCUAUUUUUCUUCCACCCGAUCCGAGCCAGCUACAUUUGGCUAAAAAUUGUUUGUCGAACAUUAUAUCCAACACUUCAUGCAGUCGGCUUUUCGCGUUUUGGCUGGAUAAUUCAGCAUCCGCACGCUGUAUGAAGGUGUAAAACAAAUUUUCAUCUGUAAGAUGCUCUUCAAACCGGUCCAGUGACUCUUCGUUGCUUAUAUAUUGUAUCGGGAUGGUUUGAGCAUUGCGUCGCACGCCUUUCAUCGGGUGUAUUGUGGCCGAAAUUUCAUUCACUAUCGCAGCCGUUUGGGCAGUUCGGGCAUCCAGUUUUAAUAAUAAACAGUGUGAACAAAAAUCGUGCCCAGGACAAGUUGUUUUUACUUGAACUAACUCUGUGUUCUUAUUUACAU